UUUCCCAUAACUCGCACGUAAGUGCGGUGUUAGUAAGACUCCUGGAAGAACACCAGGUUGAUAGGUUAGAGGUGUAAGCAUGGUAACAUGUUCAGCUGACUAAUACUAAUAAGUCGAGGGCUUGACCAA
rnacentral:rRNA from 1 species